UUUUAUAAUUAAGUGAGGAUAAUUUGGUUAUUAUGGUAAGUUAAUUUUAAUAAGGGGAAUUAAAAAAUUUUUUGGAGGGAAUUUUUAAAUUUUAUAAACCCAAAAAAUAAAUUUUAAAAAUUUUUUAUAAAAUUAGGAUUAGAUACCCUAUUAUUAAAACAUUUUUAAUUAGGUAGUAUAGAAUAUUCUGAAACCUAAAGGAUUUGGCGGUGUUUUAAAUAAUCAGAGGAACCUGUUUUUUAAUCGACAAUCCACGUCAUAUUUUACCAAAAUUUUGUAUGUAAAUCGUUGUAAAGACAAUAUUAAAAAAUAAUAGUCCAAAUUAAAAAUUUUCCAUAAAUCAAAUCAAGGUGCAGCAUAUUUUGGUAAAAAUGGGUUACAAUAUAUCAAUAUAAACGGAAAUUUCAAUUAACAUCAUUGAAGGUGGAUUUGAAAGUAAUAGAAAAUAAA
rnacentral:rRNA from 1 species